GGCCUAUGGGUUGUAAACCUCUUUUUUCAGGGAGGAACAAAAUGACGUGUACCUGAAGAAUAAGCAUCGGCUAACUCCGUGCCAGCAGCCGCGGUAAGACGGAGGAUGCAAGUGUUAUCCGGAAUCACUGGGCGUAAAGCGUCUGUAGGUGGUUUAAUAAGUCAACUGUUAAAUCUUGAAGCUCAACUUCAAAAUCGCAGUCGAAACUAUUAGACUAGAGUAUAGUAGGGGUAAAGGGAAUUUCCAGUGGAGCGGUGAAAUGCGUAGAUAUUGGAAAGAACACCGAUGGCGAAGGCACUUUACUGGGCUAUUACUGACACUCAGAGACGAAAGCUAGGGUAGCAAAUGGGAUUAGAUACCCCAGUAGUCCUAGCCGUAAAC
rnacentral:rRNA from 1 species